CAGUGUUGCCAAGUCUGUGGUUGUUUUUCAUGUCCGCAGGUCGAAGCGACAAUACCAAUAACGUGAUAUUUAGCCCCUAAAAUGCGUACGACAAAAUUUUAAUUUUGGGGAGAACGAACUUUUUAAAGAGGUGGUUCUUCCUCAUUGAUAUUCUGAAACAGUCUUACCUUGUAUCUUGCACAUCUUCUGUUUGAUGCAGCUAUGAUGUUAUGGAACAUGUCUAUUGAAAGUUCAAUCCCUAUACUGCGAUAAGGUUCUUCAUUGUCUCUUCUGAUUGAAAAUCUAACAAAUUCUUAAGUAUCUAAUCUCAUCAUUUGUUCAAUUAAAACAUUGCAUAUCACUCCCAAAACAACUGAUCUUCUUAAUUAUUGAUAUUUACAGUUCAUUUGAAUAUUUACUUUUUACUUCCGUAACUUAAAGGGGGGGUGAAAUGCUCGUUUUCACUCAAUAUCCUGUUAACCUUGAGUACCUAUAGAGUAGUACUGCAUCCUUCAUAACUCCAAAAAGUCUUUAUUUUUAUUAUGUUUAUAAGAGAAAGAUAGUCUGUACCGAUUUUUCCCGGAAAAACACGAGCGCCUAGAGGCGUGACGUGUGGGCGGAGCUAAAGAAUCACGAGCGCCAGUAGGCAUUUGUGUUGAGCUGUGACACAGAUCCAGAGGCUGAAAUUUAACAAGAGCAGCAUCAGCAAAGGCAGUAUGCUAUGUGGAGCCAUUUUUUCCGGAUGAAACGGAAUUUAAAACUCGGAGGAACGAGAAGGCAGGGCUGGGAUCUUCAUCCCGUGGUAACUAGGAUAUACACAAACUCAAGACCCCAGAUGAUGCUAACCCUGAAUCAACAAACAGAACUAACAAAUAUUGCUACAAGUGUGACUACAUCAUAUAAUAAUUGCUGUUAAUAAUGUUCAUCGUCUGGCUGACUACAUCUUGUAUUAAUUUUUCUGAAAAAUCCUGUCAUGCGCGCACAAACUGACAGUCACUACUUAUAAGCUAGCUACUAUUAAAUAUUGUAGAAAAGUAAUUUUCUGUAAAGUUGCUUUGUAAUGAUUUGUAUCAUAAAAAGUGCUAUACAAAUAAAGUUGAAUUGAAUUGUCUUUCAAGGCUUUAGAGGUCCUUUCAAGUUGUUGAUCCACCAUCUGGUCUGGAUACGUACUGUAUCCGGGUGACUGCAUCAAACACCAUAUAGAUUUGAAAAUAUUGCUUAUUACUUUUAAAGCCCUGAAUGGUUUAGCACCUCAGUAUUUGAAUGAGCUCCUGUUACAUUAUAAUCCUCUACGUCUGCUGUGUUCUCAAAACUCAGGCAAUUCGAUUGUUCAAGAGGCAGACACACUCUUGCAGUUUAAAUCUAGAUUAAAGACCCAUCUCUUUAACCUGGCUUACACAUAACAUACUAAUAUGCUUUUAAAAUGCAAAUCCGUUAAAGGAUUUUUAGGCUGCAUUAAUUAGGUAAACCGGAACCGGAAACACUUCCCAUAACACCCUAUGUACUUGCUACAUCAUUAGAAGAAUGGCAUCUACGCUAAUAUUUGUCUGUUUCUUUCUUAUUCCGAGGUCACCGUGGCCACCAGAUCCAGUCUGUAUCCAGAUCAGAGGGUCACUGCAGUCACCUGGAUCCAGUACGUAUCCAGACCAGAUGGUGGAUCAGCACCUAGAAAGGACCUCUACUGCCCUGAAAGACAGCGGAGACCAGGACAACUAGAGCCCAGAUACAGAUCCCCUGUAAAGACCGUGUCUCAGAGGAGCACCAGGACAAGACCACAGGAAACAGAUGGUUCUUCUGCACAAUCUGACUUUGCUGCAGCCUGGAAUUGAACUACUGAUUUCGUCUGGUCAGAGGAGAACUGACCCCCAACUGAGCCUGGUUUCUCCCAAGGUUUUUUUCUCCAUUCUGUCACCGAUGGAGUUUCGGUUCCUUGCCGCUGUCGCCUCUGGCUUGCUUA